rnacentral:rRNA from 1 species
AACGUACCAUUCAGUGGGGGAUAACGUAGCGAAAGUUACGCUAAUACCGCAUAUUCUGUGAGCAGGAAAGCAGGGGAUCGCAAGACCUUGCGCUGAUUGAGCGGCCGAUAUCAGAUUAGCUAGUUGGCGGGGUAAUAGCCCACCAAGGCGACGAUCUGUAGCGGGUCUGAGAGGAUGAUCCGCCACACUGGGACUGAGACACGGCCCAGACUCCUACGGGAGGCAGCAGUGGGGAAUUUUGGACAAUGGGCGCAAGCCUGAUCCAGCCAUGCCGCGUGAGUGAAGAAGGCCUUCGGGUUGUAAAGCUCUUUCGCGAGGGAAGAAAACGCACUGGAUAAUACCUAGUGUGUAUGACGGUACCUUGAUAAGAAGCACCGGCUAACUACGUGCCAGCAGCCGCGGUAAUACGUAGGGUGCGAGCGUUAAUCGGAAUUACUGGGCGUAAAGCGUGCGCAGGCGGUUUGUUAAGACAGGCGUGAAAUCCCCGGGCUCAACCUGGGAAUGGCGU